rnacentral:rRNA from 1 species
ACUCCUACGGGAGGCAGCAGUGGGGAAUCUUGCGCAAUGGGCGAAAGCCUGACGCAGCAACGCCGCGUGCGGGAAGAAGGCCUUCGGGUUGUAAACCGCUUUCAGCAGGAAAGAAAAUGACGGUACCUGCAGAAGAAGGUGCGGCCAACUACGUGCCAGCAGCCGCGGUAAU